AGAGUUUGAUCCUGGCUCAGGACGAACGCUGGCGGCGUGCUUAAUACAUGCAAGUCGAGCGGACCUUUGCCGUUUGUUGCCGGUUUCCGGCGACAAAUGGCAACGGUUAGCGGCGAACGGGUGAGUAACGCGUGGGUAAUCUGCCCCCAAGACCGGGAUAACAGGGCGAAAGCGCUGCUAAUACCGGAUGACCUCUCUUUAUCGCAUGGUGAAGGGAGCAAAGCUACGGCGCUUGGGGAUGAGCCCGCGUUCCAUUAGCUAGUUGGUGAGGUAACAGCUCACCAAGGCGACGAUGGAUAGCCGGCCUGAGAGGGUGACCGGCCACACUGGGACUGAGACACGGCCCAGACUCCUACGGGAGGCAGCAGUAGGGAAUUUUCGGCAAUGGGGGAAACCCUGACCGAGCAAUGCCGCGUGAACGACGAAGGUCUUCGGAUCGUAAAGUUCUGUGAUUGGGGAAGAACAGCAUGAUCAGGAAAUGGGUCAUGUUUGACGGUACCCGAUUAGAAAGCCCCGGCUAACUAUGUGCCAGCAGCCGCGGUAAU
rnacentral:rRNA from 1 species